rnacentral:rRNA from 1 species
UACGGAGGGGGCUAGCGUUGUUCGGAAUUACUGGGCGUAAAGGGCGCGUAGGCGGACCAUCAAGUCAGGGGUGAAAGGCCUGGGCUCAACCCGGGAACUGCCUUUGAAACUGAAGGUCUAGAGUCCGAGAGAGGAUAGCGGAAUUCCCAGUGUAGAGGUGAAAUUCGUAGAUAUUGGGAAGAACACCAGUGGCGAAGGCGGCUAUCUGGCUCGGAACUGACGCUGAGGCGCGAAAGCGUGGGGAGCAAACAGG